rnacentral:rRNA from 1 species
AUUGAACGCUGGCAGCAGGCUUAACACAUGCAAGUCGAGCGGGGGAGGUUACUUCGGUAACUGACCUAGCGGCGGACGGGUGAGUAAUGCUUAGGAAUCUGCCUAUUAGUGGGGGACAACAUUCCGAAAGGAAUGCUAAUACCGCAUACGUCCUACGGGGGAAAGCAGGGGAUCUUCGGACCUUGCGCUAAUAGAUGAGCCUAAGUCGGAUUAGCUAGUUGGUGGGGUAAAGGCCUACCAAGGCGACGAUCUGGAGCGGGUCUGAGAGGAUGAUCCGCCACACUGGGACUGAGACACGGCCCAGACUCCUACGGGAGGCAGCAGUGGGGAAUAUUGGACAAUGGGGAACCCUGAUCCAGCCAUGCCGCGUGUGUGAAGAAGGCCUUUCGGUUGUAAAGCACUUUAAGCGAGGAGGAGGCCCCUUUAGUUAAUACCUAAAGAGAGUGGACGUUACUCGCAGAAUAAGCACCGGCUAACUCUGUGCCAGCCGCCGCAGUAA